rnacentral:lncRNA from 1 species
GAGGAGGGGAGGGCAGGGCGGUGGCAAAGUGGUUCUUUGUGCUUUUAAUCUGCAUUUUUUCCCUCAACGUUCCGUCUCCAGGAGGAUAAUUUUCCAGCCUUUUCAGGCCCUGAUUGGUAUCAUUUCUCCAGCAAUGACAGCUUUUAUUUUCCCUGAAAUGAAUGCCGUGAAAUUUCCAAGAAAUAUAAAAAUGGAUAUUGUCUCAGGGAGCCGACUCUCUUCCGACAGAAAGGCACAAAGCAAACAGGCUUCCCUGGGGACCCUGCUGUGCCAGCCACUAGGGGGUGGGGGACCUGAGCCCUCAGCCCCUCCUCCCUGCCAGGCCACCCUACCUGCCUGCCUCACUCCAUCUUGCCUGCUCUGUUCAGCACCGCACCCCCCACAGGACACCCAACCUCAGAGACUCCCAGGACAACCCAGCCCCUGAGCAAGGUGACCUCCUGACUGAGGAGCAAGAGAAUGACAGGACACAGCAGCACCCAGCCAAGCCCGGAGCCAGGCAACGGGACGCUCAGCUUGGGGGCCGGGGAGGCGGGAGCUGGGGAGCAUCGGCCCCCAGAGCCGCCUUGGAGAGAGAAGGGCUGAGGGUGUGCAAGGAGCAGAGGGGAGGGGUGCGGGUUGGUCCUGAAACCCUCACUUCAGCCCCUUCCCUGACCGAAGACCAGAUCCCAGCCCACUCCUCCUGGGUGGGCAUCACCAGGUCUGGGUUCCGGGGAAGGGUUCGCGAAGACCGCCCACUCCCUGGGGACCACAGUGGUCCCACCAGUGACACAUCUGUUGAGCCUUCACUAAGUGAGGGGCAAAAUGCUCCACUCCAAGGGGGCUGCCAACCUGAAGCCAGGCCUGGGUCAGCCUGGAGCCCAGCCGUGAUCAGAACCGUCGCGGCGCCCCUCUGGCCUGCAUGUGCUGCUCUGUCCUGCCCAUUCCCGCCCCACACCCUCUGUGACCCCUCGUUGCGGUUUCCGGAGCCUCCUCGGUCUGGCCUCAGACCCCCUUCCAGCCUCCUGGCUCGUGCUCCCCUAAAUGUCCCUCCUUUCCAAGGGAUUGAACCCCCACUUCUGUGCCUUUGUUCUAGCCAUCCCCUCAGCCUGAAUACCCCAUCCCCAGCCCUCCUGUCCUUCAUCAGUCCCCUCUCCAGGAUCCCCUGAUAGUCCCCCUGGCUGGGCAGGUCCCUACCUGAAGGAGCCUGCCCGAGAGUCUCUCCUUGCCGGAGAGGUCUGUGCCCCUAUGUGCCCAGCCCAGAACCUGGGGCAUGGACUGGGCUGGAUGGAGCAGGCCCAUGCCCCAAUCCACAGGGAGGUCCUAGCCAGGCCCUAUGCCCAGCCCCACUGCGUCCCUGUGAGCCCCUCUGUCUCCUUCCCUCCACAGCCCUGCUCUCCUACAAGGGACAGUUAGUGGCCUCGGCCACUCCCAGUGCUGUGGCUGGAACCCCCAUAAUAAAACACGUGGAACCCUCCUAAGUGCCA